rnacentral:lncRNA from 1 species
UUUCAGGACACUCUGCCCAAGCAGCCGUGUGGCAGCAACCCCCUCCCCGGCCUCACCAAGCAGGAAGACUGCUGCGGUAGCAUCGGCACUGCCUGGGGCCAGAGCAAGUGCCACAAGUGUCCCCAGCUGCAGUACACAGGAGUGCAGAAGCCAGGGCCUGUACGUGGGGAAGUGGGCGCUGACUGUCCCCAGGGCUACAAGAGGCUUAACAGCACCCACUGCCAGGCAGACAAACCGGAGGAGAAGAGCCUGUGUUUCCGCCUGGUGAGCCCUGAGCACCAGUGCCAGCACCCACUGACCACCCGCCUGACCCGCCAGCUCUGCUGCUGCAGUGUCGGCAAGGCCUGGGGCGCGCGGUGUCAGCGCUGCCCAACAGAUGGCACCGCUGCGUUCAAGGAGAUCUGCCCAGCUGGGAAGGGAUACCACAUUCU